UACGUAGGGUGCAAGCAUUAAUCGGAUUUAUUGGGCGUAAAGGGCGCGUAGGCGGGGAGGUCAGUCAGAUGUGAAAUCCCGGGGCUCAACCUCGGAACAGCAUUGAAACUACCUCUCUAGAGGGUGAGGCGGAGAAAACGGAAUUCCACAAGUAGCGGUGAAAUGCGUAGAUAGUGGAUGGAAGAACACCAGUGGCGGAGCUGGUUUCUAGCUUACACCUGACGCUGAUGCGCGAAAGCAAGGGGGGAGCAAACAG
rnacentral:rRNA from 1 species